UUAGGAUAGGGAAACAAAGGUGAAGUCCUUGCCUAGUUUCCGUCUCGUUAAGUGGUUUAUCACUUCAACAUUUUAUUAUUCAAAAUCAUCAUAAGUCCAUGUUAAUGGACUAUUUUUGUCAACCAACCAUUAUGUUCUAAACAUAAUUACAAACCUUUAAGAGUUGUACAAGGCAACUCUCAUUUCUUCAUACAACAAUUUGUAAGUGAAGAAUCAUGGCACAUAAAGUGUCCAUGCCCUUGUGCUUACUUCUCAAGUUCUUUGUUCAUGUAACAAAGAAACAAGCACUAAGUGUUUGCAUUGACUAAGGGUUGUUCAAAGCAACUCCUAUUU
rnacentral:lncRNA from 1 species